rnacentral:misc_RNA from 1 species
AACUUUCGGCAAUGGAUCACUUGGCUCUCGCAUGGAUGAAGAACGCAGCGAAAUGCGAAAUGUAAGUGAAUUGCAGAAUUAUAGUGAAUCAUCGAAUCUUUGAACGCAUCUUGCGCCCGGUGGUAUUCCGCCGGGCAUGCCUGUCUGAGUGACAUUACUAUCUCAACCCUAAUGAUGUUGUCAUGACGUCGCUGAGUGGAUUGGAACGUGGACUGGGCGGGGAUCCCCUGCCGGUCUUAAAUGGGGUAGGCUAACCGAAUAUGCAGCGGUUUGACCGGGUGUUGUAGAGUCGCCUCACUCGGGACGCUGAUCGGAUUAGUCGAUUUGUAAUUGAAUUACUCGAGCGAUUUAAACCUCAGAUCAGGUAGGAUUACCCGCUGAACUUAAGCAUAUCAAUAAGCGGAGGCU